GUGCUCGCUUCAGCAGCACACAUAGUAAAAUUGGAAUAAUACAGAGAUUAGCAUGGUCCCUGUGCAAGGAUGACAGGCAAAUUUGUGAAGUGUUCCAUGCUUUU